rnacentral:SRP_RNA from 2 species
GCCGGGCGCGGUGGCUCACGCCUGUAAUCCCAGCACUUUGGAGGCCGAGGCGGGUGGAUCACCUGAGGUCGGGAGUUCGAGACCAGCCUGACCAACAUGGAGAAACCCCGUCUCUA